rnacentral:miRNA from 1 species
UCUCCUCCCGGUACCCUUCUU